GAUGAACGCUGGCGGCGUGCCUAAUACAUGCAAGUCGAGCGAACAGACGAGGAGCUUGCUCCUCUGACGUUAGCGGCGGACGGGUGAGUAACACGUGGAUAACCUACCUAUAAGACUGGGAUAACUUCGGGAAACUGGAGCUAAUACCGGAUAAUAUAUUGAACCGCAUGGUUCAAUAGUGAAAGACGGUUUUGCUGUCACUUAUAGAUGGAUCCGCGCCGCAUUAGCUAGUUGGUAAGGUAACGGCUUACCAAGGCAACGAUGCGUAGCCGACCUGAGAGGGUGAUCGGCCACACUGGAACUGAGACACGGUCCAGACUCCUACGGGAGGCAGCAGUAGGGAAUCUUCCGCAAUGGGCGAAAGCCUGACGGAGCAACGCCGCGUGAGUGAUGAAGGUCUUCGGAUCGUAAAACUCUGUUAUUAGGGAAGAACAAAUGUGUAAGUAACUAUGCACGUCUUGACGGUACCUAAUCAGAAAGCCACGGCUAACUACGUG
rnacentral:rRNA from 1 species